rnacentral:rRNA from 1 species
AGAGUUUGAUCAUGGCUCAGAUUGAACGCUGGCGGCAGGCUUAACACAUGCAAGUCGAACGAUGAUUAUCUAGCUUGCUGGAUAUGAUUAGUGGCGGACGGGUGAGUAACAUUUAGGAAUCUGCCUAGUAGUGGGGGAUAGCUCGGGGAAACUCGAAUUAAUACCGCAUACGACCUACGGGUGAAAGGGGGCGCAAGCUCUUGCUAUUAGAUGAGCCUAAAUCAGAUUAGCUAGUUGGUGGGGUAAAGGCCCACCAAGGCGACGAUCUGUAACUGGUCUGAGAGGAUGAUCAGUCACACCGGAACUGAGACACGGUCCGGACUCCUACGGGAGGCAGCAGUGGGGAAUAUUGGACAAUGGGGGCAACCCUGAUCCAGCCAUGGCCGCGUGUGUGAAGAAGGCCUUUUGGUUGUAAAGCACUUUAAGCAGGGAGGAGAGGCUAAUGGUUAAUACCCAUUAGAUUAGACGUUACCUGCAGAAUAAGCACCGGCUAACUCUGUGCCAGCAGCCGCGGUAAUACAGAGGGUGCGAGCGUUAAUCGGAAUUACUGGGCGUAGAGCGAGUGUAGGUGGCUCAUUAAGUCACAUGUGAAAUCCCCGGGCUUAACCUGGGAACUGCAUGUGAUACUGGUGGUGCUAGAAUAUGUGAGAGGGAAGUAGAAUUCCAGGUGUAGCGGUGAAAUGCGUAGAGAUCUGGAGGAAUACCGAUGGCGAAGGCAGCUUCCUGGCAUAAUAUUGACACUGAGAUUCGAAAGC